CAUUGACGAUUUGGGCCGUCUCCGCCCACAGGACAACACGUUCUGCAGAGACCCCUACUUGGCUAUUUUUGCAAUUGUCCCAUUGUAUUGGGAAGUGGGAAUUUCCUACUUGCAAGUUGUAAAUUCCCACUGGAACGAUCCUCCAGUGGGAAAUCUCUGUUGUGAAGUGGGAAAGUUCAGAAUUCAAGGCGGCAGCUGCUCACCACAACUCAACACUGUUGAAGGACCAAAACAAGCUGCUGAAGUAACUAAACAGGAGUCUGCUGGAUGGAUUGUUUGUGAUGGUUCUGUGUUAGGCACACUGAAGCUGUCGUGAUGGAGAAAGCUGAACUAAAAGGUCUCGCAACUUUAAAAAACUAAAACAAACAUUAAUGUGGUGAGUUACAACCUGACACAAUAAAAAUGUGUAAAAAUGAUAAAACUUGCCCUUUUAAAGAAUGACCUCACAUUUAGUCUCUCCUCUUCUACACUUUUCUCAUCCUCCUCUUCCUCCAUCCCCUCCUCCUCCAACU